ACACGGGACUCCAGGUUGUCCAUCUGCAGCUGGAGCCGCUUGAGUGUGCGGUCUGCAUCCUGAGUCUUGCGCUUGUAGGCAACCAGCACGGCGGUGAUGGCCAGCAGCAAGAGCCCACCCCCUGCUGCCAGUCCCACCAUGGCAGGCAAGGUCUGCAUCCUAAACCUCUAAUGCAACAGCAGGAGAAGAAAGGCAGGCAAAAGAGAAGAGAGGCCACAUCCUGCCCUCACCUUCUCCAGGAAGACAAGCUUAGGGACAGGCUGGAGACAGGUCAGCAGAGAGACCUGGAGAGGCAAGAUUUGCAGCCCAAGAUCCCACCCCAGCCCCCACCUAGACGGGGUCUCGCUCUAUCACCCAGGCUGGAGUGCAGU